GGGCGUAAAGCGUGCGCAGGCGGUUAUGUAAGACAGAUGUGAAAUCCCCGGGCUUAACCUGGGAACUGCAUUUGUGACUGCAUAGCUAGAGUACGGUAGAGGGGGAUGGAAUUCCGCGUGUAGCAGUGAAAUGCGUAGAUAUGCGGAGGAACACCGAUGGCGAAGGCAAUCCCCUGGACCUGUACUGACGCUCAUGCACGAAAGCGUGGGGAGCAAACAGGAUUAGAUACCCUGGUAGUCCACGCCCUAAACGAUGUCAACUGGUUGUUGGGUCUUCACUGACUCAGUAACGACUAACGCGUGAAGUUGACCGCCUGGGGAGUACGGCC
rnacentral:rRNA from 1 species